AGGCAGACAUAUGGAUCAAUUCUGGAUCUCCAAUGCAAGAUUUUGAGGAAGCGGUUGGAAUAUAGUGGAGGGGAUGCCAUGGAAAAGAACCCUAAUGCCCGAAGACCCUAGAAGACUUGGACUCCUACCCCGUAUUCCUCAACCAACAACUGAGGAACGUAUGCAAUCACAAGUGAGAAGAGGCCUAGCGUUGGGUGAACCUCGAGACCAUGCAGGAGCUCCAGAAACCUCAUCAAGCUCAGCAACCCUGUUAGAAACACAGUCAAGGCCCUGAUUGUGCAAGACCUUUGCUGCUGGACCUCUCUAAAGAACCUUCUGAAGCCUCCACUAUCAAGCAACUAGGGGAAAACCUCCCUGCCUGCCUCCCAGUCCCAACCCCAAAACUGAUGCAGCACUUUCUUCAUGUACCAGGCCACACACACACAGACUGAUGACAGGAGCAUACACAUGGCUCUUUGUCUGGCUGGCAUAGUGAAGGAAUGGGAUGAAAUGAGAAUUUAUCUAACGCUGUGCAGAGGGCCUACACUGCCAGAUUAUUUUCAUAGGUGUACUUUGCUCUGUAAACAUGGCCUUACUUUGGAGAGUACAUUGCUUAAUUAAAGGCCCACCGUCAUCUCAUGAUGACCCCGUUCAAUUUGCCAAGCAGCUCCUCCGAAAAGUCUCUUCACAAAACGUGACAUCACACAUCCCAACUUGGCAACAAAUCAUUGGUUUAGAAGAAAACAAGGUAGUGACAAUGUGAUUCUAGCCUAUUGAAACAACACAGAGCAGACAUCCCCCUCCCCAAACACCUUGCUUCACACCUGAACCUCAUUUUGAUUUAGAUGGUGGUCGGUGGUGUACAUGUGAGGUCAUUUGAAUGGGGUGAUCAUGUGAUGACAGUGGGCCUUUAAACAGUUAGUUCAGAUUAAAUCUAUAGAGGUCUUUACACACCGAGAUCCAUCUAUCUAUGCUGCUACGUCUUUCCCAGACCACCUGUCAGCCAUAGCUCUAUGAAAAGAUAUUGUUGGCCUCUUUACCCUCCUCUAAUCCUCCCAUCCCUGUGUUCAUGGGGCUAUACCUGCCUCUAGGUGUGUAUAUUAUGUCUGGUCUGAGACAUAUUUUAUUUCUUGUUAGGUGACACAAGGUUCUGGAUCAUAAGUAUUUUUGAUCUGGUUAUAUUCUGAGUUUCUGUUUUAGCCAUUUAUCAGUUGACCAUUUUCCUUGGUAGCUAAGGGUUAACUUGCGUUUGAUCAUGUUCACCUUGCAUCUUAACUCCUUAAAGCUGGAAUCAGCGAGUCGUCUGUGACCCCCAGGACGCACCUCUUUUGAUAUUUAAUUUGUAACUAAACCCAACACUGACCUCUUUUUCUCACUUCUCUUUUUGUGUCGAGUUGAUCCAGAUCCAAUACCAAUGAUGCUUGUUCAGUAGAACCUUUCUAAAAACGCUGUCCCUGCUACCUGUUUAUCUACAACUAGCUAGCAGCUGACUACUCUGCUGUUUACAUUCUAGCUCUCUCACGCAAGCUCAUGUGCGCUCCCUCAUGCCCAAGCGCUCUCUCUCGCAUCUAUGCGCUCUCCCACUCUCACACAACUAUAGAUUGUGUAUAUAUAAACACAAGAAGUAUGGGGAAGCCUGGGGUCAUGGACGACUAGCUGAUUACCACUUUAAAUAUGUCAUUGGGUUCAGUUGUCUAGAGGAUAGUUAUGCGUUUUAUGUCCCAGUUCAACUCCUCUGGAAUAUCGGUACCAUAACGCAUCAUUUCACGUCUCUGUCUUAUUUCCCUGGACAUCCCAUUUCCCCUUGAAUAGCACGACUUGGAGUAAUUUACCUGCAUAGACCUGGCACAAUUCAUUGGUGGGGUGACAUUU